rnacentral:rRNA from 1 species
GCAAGUCGAGCGCAGUCUUUCGGGACCGAGCGGCGGACGGGUUAGUAACGCGUGGGAACGUACCCUUCUCUACGGAAUAGCCAUUGGAAACGAUGAUUAAUACCGUAUACGCCCUUUGGGGGAAAGAUUUAUCGGAGAAGGAUCGGCCCGCGUUAGAUUAGAUAGUUGGUGAGGUAACGGCUCACCAAGUCAACGAUCUAUAGCUGGUUUGAGAGGAUGAUC